CAGCCGCCGCGGGAAUACCGAGGGUGCAAGCGUUAAUCGGAAUUACUGGGCGUAAAGCGCGCGUAGGUGGUUUGUUAAGUUGGAUGUGAAAGCCCCGGGCUCAACCUGGGAACUGCAUCCAAAACUGGCAAGCUAGAGUACGGUAGAGGGUGGUGGAAUUUCCUGUGUAGCGGUGAAAUGCGUAGAUAUAGGAAGGAACACCAGUGGCGAAGGCGACCACCUGGACUGAUACUGACACUGAGGUGCGAAAGCGUGGGGAGCAAACAGGAUUAGAUACCCCGGUAGUCCCUGUCUCUUAUAC
rnacentral:rRNA from 1 species